GACGAACGCUGGCGGCGUGCCUAAUACAUGCAAGUCGAGCGGAUGACGGAGGAGCUUGCUCCUCUAGAUUCAGCGGCGGACGGGUGAGUAACACGUGGGCAACCUGCCCUGUAGAUUGGGAUAACUCCGGGAAACCGGGGCUAAUACCGAAUAAUCCUUCGGACCUCAUGGUCCGAUGUUGAAAGACGGCAUCUCGCUGUCACUACAGGAUGGGGCCGCGGCGCAUUAGCUAGUUGGUGAGGUAACGGCUCACCAAGGCCACGAUGCGUAGCCGACCUGAGAGGGUGAUCGGCCACACUGGGACUGAGACACGGCCCAGACUCCUACGGGAGGCAGCAGUAGGGAAUCUUCCACAAUGGACGAAAGUCUGAUGGAGCAACGCCGCGUGAGUGAAGAAGGUUCUCGGAUCGUAAAACUCUGUUGUGAGGGAAGAACAAGUACCGGAGUAACUGCCGGUGCCUUGACGGUACCUCAUUAGAAAGCCACGGCUAACUACGUGCCAGCAGCCGCGGUAAUAC
rnacentral:rRNA from 1 species